CUGGGGAUUAUGCUGAAACUUUAUUAUUACUUUAAAUAAAUAAAUUACUCCCUGGAGGUCAGAUGAAAACAUGCUCUUAUUAAGUUUUUUGACGAAGGAAAGCAAUUGAAGAAUAAAAUCAAAGUGCUUGGUACCUGGUAGGGGUUAAGUAAGUACCCUUCAAUGAAAUAACUGCACAGGAGAAUUGAUGAAGAACAAGGGUGGAUCAACGUGAUGUCAACCCUACUCCAAAAGCUUCCAGGAUCCAGACUAUGUCCCAGCAUAGACACCAAGUAAAUACUCUAUCAAAGAAGGCAGAGGAGAGAUCCCACAUUGAUUAACAAAG